AGAGUUUGAUCCUGGCUCAGGAUGAACGCUGGCGGCGUGCCUAAUACAUGCAAGUCGAGCGAACGGACGAGAAGCUUGCUUCUCUGAUGUUAGCGGCGGACGGGUGAGUAACACGUGGAUAACCUACCUAUAAGACUGGGAUAACUUCGGGAAACCGGAGCUAAUACCGGAUAAUAUUUUGAACCGCAUGGUUCAAAAGUGAAAGACGGUCUUGCUGUCACUUAUAGAUGGAUCCGCGCUGCAUUAGCUAGUUGGUAAGGUAACGGCUUACCAAGGCAACGAUGCAUAGCCGACCUGAGAGGGUGAUCGGCCACACUGGAACUGAGACACGGUCCAGACUCCUACGGGAGGCAGCAGUAGGGAAUCUUCCGCAAUGGGCGAAAGUCUGACGGAGCAACGCCGCGUGAGUGAUGAAGGUCUUCGGAUCGUAAAACUCUGUUAUUAGGGAAGAACGUAUGUGUAAGUAACUGUGCACAUCUUGACGGUACCUAAUCAGAAAGCCACGGCUAACUACGUGCCAGCAGCCGCGGUAAUACGUAGGUGGCAAGCGUUAUCCGGAAUUAUUGGGCGUAAAGCGCGCGUAGGCGGUUUUUUAAGUCUGAUGUGAAAGCCCACGGCUCAACCGUGGAGGGUCAUUGGAAACUGGAAAACUUGAGUGCAGAAGAGGAAAGUGGAAUUCCAUGUGUAGCGGUGAAAUGCGCAGAGAUAUGGAGGAACACCAGUGGCGAAGGCGACUUUCUGGUCUGUAACUGACGCUGAUGUGCGAAAGCGUGGGGAUCAAACAGGAUUAGAUACCCUGGUAGUCCACGCCGUAAACGAUGAGUGCUAAGUGUUAGGGGGUUUCCGCCCCUUAGUGCUGCAGCUAACGCAUUAAGCACUCCGCCUGGGGAGUACGACCGCAAGGUUGAAACUCAAAGGAAUUGACGGGGACCCGCACAAGCGGUGGAGCAUGUGGUUUAAUUCGAAGCAACGCGAAGAACCUUACCAAAUCUUGACAUCCUUUGACAACUCUAGAGAUAGAGCCUUCCCCUUCGGGGGACAAAGUGACAGGUGGUGCAUGGUUGUCGUCAGCUCGUGUCGUGAGAUGUUGGGUUAAGUCCCGCAACGAGCGCAACCCUUAAGCUUAGUUGCCAUCAUUAAGUUGGGCACUCUAAGUUGACUGCCGGUGACAAACCGGAGGAAGGUGGGGAUGACGUCAAAUCAUCAUGCCCCUUAUGAUUUGGGCUACACACGUGCUACAAUGGACAAUACAAAGGGCAGCGAAACCGCGAGGUCAAGCAAAUCCCAUAAAGUUGUUCUCAGUUCGGAUUGUAGUCUGCAACUCGACUACAUGAAGCUGGAAUCGCUAGUAAUCGUAGAUCAGCAUGCUACGGUGAAUACGUUCCCGGGUCUUGUACACACCGCCCGUCACACCACGAGAGUUUGUAACACCCGAAGCCGGUGGAGUAACCUUUUAGGAGCUAGCCGUCGAAGGUGGGACAAAUGAUUGGGGUGAAGUCGUAACAAGGUAGCCGUAUCGGAAGGUGCGGCUGGAUCACCU
rnacentral:rRNA from 1 species